rnacentral:rRNA from 1 species
CGCCUCCUGCCCCGUAUAGGAGGACCUGUCUGCCCAGUGACUCUGUUCAACGGCCGCGGUAUUUUAACCGUGCGAAGGUAGCGUAAUCACCUGUUUUUUAAAUAAAGACCUGUAUGAAAGACCCCACGAGAAUCGCACUGUCUCCUCUCCCCCAAUCAGCGAAACUAAUCUCCUCGUGAAAAAGCGAGAAUUCUAAUACAAGACGAGAAGACCCUGUGGAGCUUUAAAUGAACACAUCAACUAUAUAAACCUUAUUUUAUGAUGUUAAUUUUCGGCUGGGGCGACCUUAGAGCACAAAAAACCCUCCUAGAUGACACGGAGUCACUCCUAAACACAAAACCACAAUUUUAUGUAUCAACAAACUGACAGUAUUGACCCAUAUAGAUCAACGAACCAAGUUACCCCAGGGAUAACAGCGCAAUCUGCCCCAAGAGUUCAUAUCAACAGGCAGGCUUACGACCUCGAUGUUGGAUCAAGGUGUCCAAGUGGUGCAGCCGCUACUUAUGGUUCGUUUGUUCAACGAUUAAAACCUA